CCCCAUAUAAUCGUGGUUUUAUAUUGUGUGAAAAUAUAGUAUGUAGAAAAAUAAGCAGCCUACCUUUAAAGUUGAAAUCUUUGAACAUUAAAUAACAUUUACCAUCAAGAUACAAAUCUAUUCUAAGUUUCCUUGGUUGCUCAGCCUUUAUUCUUGAGUUGAAGCAACAAGAUUUUCUGAUGGUGAAGACAUUCGGUAUUAUAAGAAUGAGUAGUGAAAAUGAAGGAGGAAAUUAGUGUAGAAAUGACGA
rnacentral:lncRNA from 1 species